GUUUGAUCAUGGCUCAGGAUGAACGCUAGCGGCAGGCUUAACACAUGCAAGUCGAGGGGUAUAGUUCUUCGGAGCUAGAGACCGGCGCACGGGUGCGUAACGCGUAUGCAAUCUACCUUUUACAGAGGGAUAGCCCAGAGAAAUUUGGAUUAAUACCUCAUAGUAUAGUACAAUCGCAUGAUUGAACUAUUAAAGUCACAACGGUAAAAGAUGGGCAUGCGUCCCAUUAGCUAGUUGGUAAGGUAACGGCUUACCAAGGCUACGAUGGGUAGGGGUCCUGAGAGGGAGAUCCCCCACACUGGUACUGAGACACGGACCAGACUCCUACGGGAGGCAGCAGUGAGGAAUAUUGGACAAUGGGCGCAAGCCUGAUCCAGCCAUGCCGCGUGCAGGAUGACGGCCUUCUGGGUUGUAAACUGCUUUUAUCUAGGAAGAAAACACCCAUGCGUGGGAAACUGACGGUACUAGAUGAAUAAGCACCGGCUAACUCC
rnacentral:rRNA from 1 species